CUUUGCUGUCCUGGGCCUGCUAUACUGCCUUUCAGCCACAGCAGUUCCUAUUCUUUGGAGUAUUUCUAGCCCUGUUCUAACUGGCUAGUUUGCAGCACUGGGGUCUGGAGUUUGUCUAUUGCUGUGCUUCACCUGAGACAGAUCAGUAAUCAGCUGGGUAUAUAAGCACUGCCUCGCCCUAGCAACCUUAUCAAGUCUUUGAUGCUGUUGUGU